GAGUCUCAUAUUAAAAGUAAAAAUAAAAGAGGUUUGGAAGAUACUAGUAAGUGUAUGUGAUAAUUUAGGUCUUAACUGCUUUACGCUGCUAUUUGACUCCUGAUGUUUUUAGAUUGACAAAUGCAGAGGUCACCACUGAGUAGUGGCAAAAGCAUCAGGUUUGAUUUUGCAGAGUUCUGAAUGACUCUUGUAGUCUGUCACCGUGUUUCUGGUGAUCCAACAAGGGUCCGCUCAUUGCAAAAAGUGUGAUAGCUGCCUGAUUUCACAUAUAAUAAACUUUAAUUUGCAUUUAUCCUAAUUCCUUCUCUGAUCUGCUUGACCAGAGACUCCCUAUUGCUUGAGCAACCAAUUGUAAAAAAUAAUCAGUAAUCCAGGUUUGGCUAGAAAUAUGCUCUUUUCUGACGUCUUGUAAACGAUUUUGAGACCUUGAUACCUGUGUAUUCAUAUUAAACCUUGCAGUAAGUCGUCUUUUAAACAGAAAAUAGAUACGAAAAAGCUUAACAGGUACAAUGAUUCGGUAUUAACCAGAAUGUAACUUCUGCCUUCUCUUAGUGUAUCAGUUGCAACAGGAAGCUCCCCAUCCUAGAAGGAUAACCUGCACUUGUGAGGUUUUAGUUCCAGUCCCACUGAACGUUUCUGUUUUGUGCCCUAAGCUUGCAGCUUGACCCAGUGUAGAGAACCGUCCCAAAUAUUAUGGAAGAG
rnacentral:lncRNA from 1 species